UACGGAAGGCAGCAGUGGGGAAUCUUGCGCAAUGGGCGAAAGCCUGACGCAGCCAUGCCGCGUGAAUGAUGAAGGUCUUAGGAUUGUAAAAUUCUUUCACCGGGGACGAUAAUGACGGUACCCGGAGAAGAAGCCCCGGCUAACUUCGUGCCAGCAGCCGCGGUAAUACGAAGGGGCUAGCGUUGCUCGGAAUUACUGGGCGUAAAGGGAGCGUAGGCGGACAUUUAAGUCAGGGGUGAAAUCCCGGGGCUCAACCUCGGAAUUGCCUUUGAUACUGGGUGUCUUGAGUAUGAGAGAGGUGUGUGGAACUCCGAGUGUAGAGGUGAAAUUCGUAGAUAUUCGGAAGAACACCAGUGGCGAAGGCGACACACUGGCUCAUUACUGACGCUGAGGCUCGAAAGCGUGGGGAGCAAACAGGAUUAGAUACC
rnacentral:rRNA from 1 species